rnacentral:rRNA from 1 species
GACGAACCGUGCGAACGUUAUUCGGAAUCAUUGGGCUUAAAGCGCGUGUAGGCGGAUUCGUGCGUCUGUCGCUGAAAUCCCCCGGCUCAACCGGGGAACGGGCGUGGAUACGACGAGUCUGGAGGGGCAUAGGGGGACCUGGAACUUCCGGUGGAGCGGUGAAAUGCGUUGAGAUCGGAAGGAACGCCCGUGGCGAAAGCGAGGUCCUGGAUGCCUACUGACGCUGAGGCACGAAAGCUAGGGGAGCAAACAGG